rnacentral:misc_RNA from 1 species
ACAGUUUUCGUGUUAUAAAAUUACGCAAUUCAUAAUUCAAUUUCAUUGAUAAAAUGUUACAGUUUGUAAAAUCACAGUUUACCUUUAUUUUUAAGCAAUUCAUCCAAUACUCGAUCCGAUACUCGAGAAGAAAAUCUUAUUGUACAAGGUCCUAGCAGUAGAACAAGAUCCCAUUCAACUAGCUCAGAAUCAUCUUCGAGUUCAUCAUCAAUAAGUUCAAGUUCAUCAUCUUCAUCUAGUUCAUCUGAAUCGGAUCAAUAAUUGUAAGCGCCGUGUAUGUAAAACUUUCUUUAAAAACACAUUGGCUAUUAGUAAUCGACCUAUCG